GCCUGGGUGGCUCAGUUGGUUGAGCGUCUGCCUUCAGCUCAGGUCAUGAUCCAAGGGACCUGGGAUCAAGUCCCACAUCAGGCU
rnacentral:tRNA from 1 species